AAACCUCUGGGGUGUUUGAGCUGCUACAGACCUGGUAUGCGCUACAUGCACACGAAGCCAAGUGAAACCAGAAAACAGUUUUUUACUCCUGUACUGAAAUGUGUGAGACUGGACACAGUCCAGGACUAUUUAUUUAUUAGGAAUCCAGCAGAAAGCUGUGAUCACAUGUACAUUUUCUUUUCAGCCUGUGCUGAGGCCUCACCUCGCCUCACUCAGGCUCAGCCCAUGAUGACGCGUUCGAGGUGUGGCUGCUCCUGCUGUAUAAAGGAGCCUCAGCUGAUACUGCAGCUGCAUCAGUGGAUCUGCUGCUCAGUUCUCGGCGUCUGGAAAACUUCUUCCUUCUCUUCACAUAUCUGAAUCAGAGUUUGAAAAUGUUCGGCCAUCACCAUGGGCAUCAUCACCAUCACCAUCAUCGCCCUGGGCUUGAUAUUCAGAUAACCCCAGGAUACGUGGCCCCGGUUGCUCCCCAGGUUUACCCGCCUGUCCAGCCCUAUGUGGCACCUGUGUACAACCCUGUACCCCCCGUGCAGAGCUACGUAACAGUGCCAGAGGUUAUCACCUAUAACUCUUGGCCCCAUCACCAUCAUCAUGGUCACCAUCACCACCAUCACCACAGACAUGGAUGGUAGUGUGGUCACACCACUAGAGAG
rnacentral:lncRNA from 1 species